rnacentral:snRNA from 1 species
AUACCUUUCUCGGUCUUUUGGCUAAGAUCAUGUGUAGUAUCUGUUCUUAUCAGUUUAAUAUCUGAUACAUGGACCAUGUGUUCACUUUGAUAUUAAAUUUAUUUUUUAGGGGAGGUCUUGUAAUAGUGGAUUGCCACUAGAGUCUUGAGUGUCGCUUAGGUAUUGCACUAUUGCCUAAGUUUGGCGCACCCCAA